AGUGAACGCUGGCGGUAGGCCUAACACAUGCAAGUCGAACGGCAGCACAGUAAGAGCUUGCUCUUACGGGUGGCGAGUGGCGGACGGGUGAGGAAUAAAUCGGAAUCUACUUUUUCGUGGGGGAUAACGUAGGGAAACUUACGCUAAUACCGCAUACGACCUACGGGUGAAAGCAGGGGAUCUUCGGACCUUGCGCGAUUGAAUGAGCCGAUGUCGGAUUAGCUAGUUGGCGGGGUAAAGGCCCACCAAGGCGACGAUCCGUAGCUGGUCUGAGAGGAUGAUCAGCCACACUGGAACUGAGACACGGUCCAGACUCCUACGGGAGGCAGCAGUGGUGAAUAUUGGACAAUGGGCGCAAGCCUGAUCCAGCCAUACCGCGUGGGUGAAGAAGGCCUUCGGGUUGUAAAGCCCUUUUGUUGGGAAAGAAAAGCAGCAGGUUAAUACCCCGCUGUUCUGACGGUACCCAAAGAAUAAGCACCGGCUAACUUCGUG
rnacentral:rRNA from 1 species